rnacentral:rRNA from 1 species
UACGUAGGGGGCGAGCGUUGUCCGGAUUUAUUGGGCGUAAAGAGCUCGUAGGCGGCUGUUCGAGUCGGGUGUGAAAUCCUGAGGCUUAACCUUGGGUCUGCAUUCGAUACUGGGCGGCUUGAGUCUGGUAGGGGGAUCUGGAAUUCCUGGUGUAGCGGUGGAAUGCGCAGAUAUCUGGAGGAACACCGGUGGCGAAGGCGGCAUCCUGGACCGGCAUUGACGCUGAACAGCGAAAGCCAGGGGAGCAAACGGG